rnacentral:tRNA from 12 species
CAAACAUGAAGGUGGAACAGGUAUCCACCACCUAGUGAAAACUAUAGGAGAUGCAGAUUACCACCUGCCAUGUUUA